rnacentral:snRNA from 1 species
GGAGGUGGGGGUGAUCUGACUGUGACAUCUGUCACCACAUUGAUCGCCAGGGUUGAUGUGGCUGAUCUGGCUGGUUAGGCGGGUGUUCCCUUCCUCCUCAGUGCUCCAUGUGUGCCUCUCCUAAAGCUGUGUGCUCAGUUGAAGAAGACAACCACCCUUCAAACAGGAGGACCAUUCCUUGGUCAAGGGUAUAUGAGUAACUGCACUCCCCUGCUAGAACCUCCAAACAAACUCUCAAAUUUAUUAUUAAAAAGUUAUAGUAUAAGGCUAGGGAGAUAGCUCAGCAGUCUAAACACCUUGACCAGGGUUCGAUCCCCAGU